rnacentral:misc_RNA from 1 species
GUGCGAAGAUGGAUGUCUGCAGGUGAGAAACAGUCUUUCCCAAAGAAAUCUAUAUUUCUUAAUUGGGUAAACUUUAUUUUGUUCUAAAUAGUCAGAAUGGUCUUGCCAACUCUCUACCAAUUAGAGGAUUAAAGUUUGUGAUGCUUAAAAUGUGUAUUCAAGUCUUUAUAUGUUCUUUUCUUUUAAUGCAUUGUUAGCCAAAAACAUUCAAGCUGAUGUUUUAAUUCAGAUCAAAUUAUCCUGAAAAUGACAAAAUGUUUUAGUACAUUCUCAACAUUGUGAUUGAAUAUUUA